GACGAACGCUGGCGGCGGGCUUAACACAUGCAAGUCGAACGCGGCCUUCGGGCCGAGUGGCGCACGGGUGCGUAACACGUAGGUAACCUGCCCUCGAGUGGGGAAUAACCACCGGAAACGGUGGCUAAUACCGCAUGGAGUCGGUGCUCCGCAUGGGGCGUCGAUCAAAGCCUUCGGGUGCUCGGGGAUGGGCCUGCGGCGGAUUAGGUAGUUGGCAGGGUAACGGCCUACCAAGCCUGUGAUCCGUAGCUGGUCUGAGAGGAUGAUCAGCCACACUGGCACUGAGACACGGGCCAGACUCCUACGGGAGGCAGCAGUGAGGAAUCUUGCGCAAUGGAGGAAACUCUGACGCGGCCACGCCGCGUGCAGGAAGACCCCCCUAUGGGGCGUAAACUGCUUUCCUGUGAGAAGAAGGCCCUCCUGGGGAGGGUUUGACGGUAUCGCAGGAAUAAGCACCGGCUAACUCCGUGCCAGCAGCCGCGGUAAUACGGAGGGUGCAA
rnacentral:rRNA from 1 species